rnacentral:rRNA from 1 species
CCUACGGGAGGCUGCAGUGAGGAAUAUUGGUCAAUGGGCGGGAGCCUGAACCAGCCAAGCCGCGUGAAGGAAGAAGGCGCCAGGCGUCGUAAACUUCUUUUAUAUGGGAAUAAAACAGGGUAUGCAUACCCUCUUGUAUGUACCAUAUGAAUAAGGAUCGGCUAACUCCGUGCCAGCAGCCGCGGUAAUACGGAGGAUCCGAGCGUUAUCCUGAUUUAUUGGGUUUAAAGGGAGCGUAGGUGGAUUGUUAAGUCAGUUGUGAAAGUUUGCGGCUCAACCGUAAAAUUGCAGUUGAAACUGGCAGUCUUGAGUACAGUAGAGGUGGGCGGAAUUCGUGGUGUAGCGGUGAAAUGCUUAGAUAUCACGAAGAACUCCGAUUGCGAAGGCAGCUCACUGGACUGCAACUGACACUGAUGCUCGAAAGUGUGGGUAUCAAACAGGAUUAGAUACCCGUGUAGUC